AUAAGUCUACUCUGUUGGAACUGCCGGGGAGGGGGGAACCGCCGGACAGUUCGAGAGGUGUUGGUCCUCGCAAAAACCAAUUCCCCCAAGUUUUUCUUUCUUUGUGAGACGAGGCAAACUAAAGAAAAGAUGGAGAAGCUUAAAUGGCGGCUGGGUUUAAAGGGUUUCAGUGGUGUUAGUAGUAAUGGAAGAAGUGGAGGUUUGGCCCUAUUCUGGGACGAAUCCCUAACGGUGACUGUUAUGGAUAGUUGUGCACGGUACAUUGACGUGCAUGUGAUGGACAAUGCUAUUAAUGUCAGCUGGCGGGGUACUUUUAUAUAUCGUGAACCUCGAGUAGAGAAUAGGCACUUGAUGUGGGAUCACCUAUCCAGAUUAAGAGCUGUCUCACAAGACCCGUGGUUUGUUUGUGGAGAUUUUGAUGAGGCUAUGUGGCAACAUGAACACUUAUCGCGAUUACAAGAUCAGAGAAUCAGAUGUUGGCGUUUAGGGAUUGCUUGGAGGUCUGUGAAUUGCAGGAUCUGGGGUUUUUUGGAUUCCCCUAUACAUAUGAUAAUGGUCAAUCCGGUGAUGGAAACGUCCAAGUAA
rnacentral:rRNA from 1 species